CGUUAAAAUGAAUUGACGGGACCGCACAAGCAGCGGAGCGUGUGGUUUAAUUCGAUGCUACACGAAGAACUUACCAGGGUUUGACAUGCAAGUGGUAGGAAUCUGAAAAGGGACCGACCUUCGGGGAGCUUGCACAGGUGCUGCAUGGCUGUCGUCAGCUCGUGUCGUGAGAUGUUCGGUUAAGUCCGCUAACGAGCGCAACCCUCACUGUGUGUCAUAUGUGUCACACGGGACUGCCGGUUUUAAGCCGGAGGAAGGUGGGAUGACGUCAAGUCAGCAUGGCCUUUAUAUCCUGGGCUACACACACGCUACAAUGGUCGGUACAAUAGGUUGCCAAGCCGCGAGGCGGAGCCAAUCCACAAAGCCGGCCUCAGUUCAGAUUGUAGGCUGCAACUCGCCUGCAUGAAGAUGGAGUUGCUAGUAACCGCAGGUCAGCAAUACUGCGGUGAAUACGUUCCCGGGUCUU
rnacentral:rRNA from 1 species